UACGUAGGGUGCAAGCGUUGUCCGGAAUUAUUGGGCGUAAAGAGCUCGUAGGCGGUCUGUCGCGUCGGCUGUGAAAUCUCGGGGCUCAACCCCGAGCCUGCAGUCGAUACGGGCAGACUAGAGUGCUGUAGGGGGAGACUGGAAUUCCUGGUGUAGCGGUGAAAUGCGCAGAUAUCAGGAGGAACACCGGUGGCGAAGGCGGGUCUCUGGGCAGUAACUGACGCUGAGGAGCGAAAGCGUGGGGGAGCGAACAGG
rnacentral:rRNA from 1 species